rnacentral:rRNA from 1 species
GAUGAACGCUGGCGGCGUGCCUAAUACAUGCAAGUCGAGCGAACAGACGAGGAGCUUGCUCCUCUGACGUUAGCGGCGGACGGGUGAGUAGCACGUGGAUAACCUACCUAUAAGACUGGGAUAACUUCGGGAAACCGGAGCUAAUACCGGAUAAUAUAUUGAACCGCAUGGUUCAAUAGUGAAAGACGGUUUUGCUGUCACUUAUAGAUGGAUCCGCGCCGCAUUAGCUAGUUGGUAAGGUAACGGCUUACCAAGGCAACGAUGCGUAGCCGACCUGAGAGGGUGAUCGGCCACACUGGAACUGAGACACGGUCCAGACUCCUACGGGAGGCAGCAGCAGGGAAUCUUCCGCAAUGGGCGAAAGCCUGACGGAGCAACGCCGCGUGAGUGAUGAAGGUCUUCGGAUCGUAAAACUCUGUUAUUAGGGAAGAACAAAUGUGUAAGUAACUAUGCACGUCUUGACGGUACCUAAUCAGAAAGCCACGGCUAACUACGUG